rnacentral:lncRNA from 10 species
CAAGAAAGAAUUCAGAGAUGAGUCAGAGUAAAGGGAAGGGCAAGAAGCUUUUAUUCCAAAGUACUCGAGUAGGAGUGUGAGUGAACUUGGGAGAGUGAGUUGCACACAGUGGAGUAUGGGUUUCUAAUUUAAUGAGCUCUUCUAAUUAAAAGAUGGAAUGAUGAGGGCUUCUAGGAAAAAGGUGGAGAUCUCUUAGAAUUGGAGUGCCACCCAUUUUUCUACUAAAUAUGGGCAUGAUCGGAUCUGUCAUGGCACUAGUGGGUGAGUGACUUAGGAGAGUAAUGAGUGUAUAAUUAUGUCUGGGGUAGGACGUGGGUCAAAUCCAAUGUCACGUCGGACUUAGCUGGUUUUAGUCAGCUUAGCCCCCAUCCUGUUAGCAAGGGUCUUAUCAGCCCAGGCUUAUCUUUGUCCUUGUAGCUAAUUUUAACACCUCCUUUCUUGCUGCUGGUGAUAUUGUUGCUUGAUAUUUUCCUGCUUCUCCUGUAAGCAUCCAGCAUUCCUAUUUUAUGGGCGUUUUCUUAAAUUAGGGGGUGAAAUAAUCAUUAGAUAUUCUGGAAAAGGAGGGCAUUUCAGGGACCCGUGGUUACUAACCCAAACGUUCUCUCUUAUUUAUUUCUCUCUUAUCUCUCUUAUUAUUUCGGUUUGCCUAGAAGAGUCAUGAACAUGUCACUCUGACCAGUAUUUUGGCUGUUUUUCUCUCUUAUUUUGAGUUUUCUGUUAUCCUGUAGUUUAUUUGCCUAGUUCUUAUUUUAGCUGUUGUUUGGAUUUUUCCGUCCUUCUGUCACCACCCAGGGCUAUGCUCCUAUCAGCAGAACACAGCCAACAAAUCAUUAGUUUGCUAAUGACACAAGUGAUAGCAAUGCAGUCCAUGGAUUGACUACUUCUUAGUCACGUGUCCACCCUUCAUCCAAUCAGCUGUGGCCUUAGUCGGGUGUCUACCCCUCAUCCAAUCAGCUGUGGCCUUGCUGAAGGUGGCAUUCUGAAGUCAGCUACCUGCUUAGCAAGAUGUGUGGGCAGAAAUUCAUCCCGAAAGUGACGUGGACAGACAGUCCUCCGAUCUAUGCUGGAAAUGUCAAGGGCUCUGGAGCUUGACCACCUGGGUUCAAAUGCCACCUUCACUCAUGUUAACAGUGUGGCUUGGGCAACCGACUUUACCUCUCUGCACCUGUUUCUUCAAUGUGCAAAUGGAAAGAACAUCACCUGCCUCUUAGGUUGUUCUAAGGAUAAAUUAUAUGCAAUGCACUUAGAAUACGGCCAGACUAAAAGACUUGUUGCCACCUGAAUUGACUCUCCCUUAGCUAAGAGAGCUAGACAGAAUCCAUCUUGGCUCUUUCACUGGCAGCCCCUUCCUCAAGGACUUAACUUGUGCAAGCUGACUCCCAGCACAUCCAAGAAUGCAAUUAACUGAUAAGAUACUGUGGCAAGCUAUAUCCGCAAUUCCCAGGAAUUCGUCUGAUUGAUAACACCCAAAGCCUCCAGUCUAUGACCUUGUAAUAGUCUUAAAGCCCCUGCACCUGGAACUGUUUACCUUCCUGUAACCAUUUAUCCUUUUAACUUUUUGCCUACUUUAUAUCUGUAAAAUUGUUUUAACUAGAGCCCCCUCCCCUUUCUAAACCAAAUUAUAAAAGAAAAUCUAGCCCCUUCUUCCGGGCCGAGAGAAUUUUGAGCGUUAGCCGUCUCUGGGCCGCCGGCUAAAUAAACGGA